AGAGUUUGAUCCUGGCUCAGAAUCAACGCUGGCGGCGCGCUUAACACAUGCAAGUCGGACGAGAAAGCCCGCAAGGGUGAGUAAAGUGGCGUACGGGUGAGUAACACGUGGGUAAUCUACCUUUUGGUGGGGAAUAACCCUGGGAAACCGGGGCUAAUACCGCAUAAGCUCGAAAGAGGAAAGGAGCAAUUCGCCGAAAGAGGAGCCCGCGGCUGAUUAGCUAGUUGGUGAGGUAAAGGCUCACCAAGGCAAUGAUCGGUAGCCGGCCUGAGAGGGCACACGGCCACACUGGCACUGAAACACGGGCCAGACUCCUACGGGAGGCAGCAGUGGGGGAUCUUGCACAAUGGGGGAAACCCUGAUGCAGCGACGCCGCGUGAAUGAUGAAGCCCUUCGGGGUGUAAAGUUCUUUCGGCAGGGACGAUAAUGACGGUACCUGAAGAAGAAGCUGCGGCUAACUACGUGCCAGCAGCCGCGGUAAUACGUAGGCAGCGAGCGUUGUUCGGAGUUACUGGGCGUAAAGAGUGCGUAGGCGGUUUUCUAAGUUUGGUGUGAAAUCUCCCGGCUUAACUGGGAGGGUGCGCCGAAGACUGGAAGGCUUGAGUAUGGGAGAGGUAAGCGGAAUUCCUGGUGUAGCGGUGAAAUGCGUAGAUAUCAGGAGGAACACCUGCGGUGUAGACGGCUUACUGGACCAUAACUGACGCUGAGGCACGAAAGCGUGGGUAGCAAACAGGAUUAGAUACCCUAGUAGUCC
rnacentral:rRNA from 1 species